rnacentral:lncRNA from 1 species
UUGGAGCUGACCCGGCCUAUCUUCCAAUUUCCCCUUUAAUCAACCACAACAGAGCAGCCUACGACAUCGAUCGGAAAAGAUAAGAGAAACACGCUUCUGGUUUCUAAAUCGUGAAAGUCAAACCCAGCUUCCCCCUAAAAUCGACCCAGCACUCAAUCGAUAUCAGCAAAGAUGUAACCCGAAAUCACCAUCUCCGACCCAACCUCAACCCGAUGCUCGCGUGAAUCACGUGCAUCCCACGUGAACAUGUUUGAGAAAAGCUUAGGAAGCUUCUAGAUAUGGGUGAGUUGAUGCGCUGUCCCUCUCCAACGUUUGAAUCCCAAUUUUCUCGGGUUGAUGUGUACGAUUUCGUACAAUUCUCAUUGGUUUAAAGGGUGUAUUUCGUUUGGUUCUUUUUUUUAUUGGUCCACCUGUUUGUCUCUUCUGGGAGAGAAAUCAAAAAGGGAUGCAUUCGUUUAGCUAAGGGGGAGCCCCGUUUUGAAUUUUGAAUUCCCACAGAAAAUCCCUAGGUUACCCUCAUUGGUUUCGAUAUAAAGAGCUCACUGUUGAGCUGAACAGGGAGGAAUUUUCUCUGGGGGGGCGAUUUUUGGUUCAAAAAAAAAAAAAUCAAGGGAAAAUUUGGGUUCGGAAAAAUUGAGGAAGAGAAAAUCCUGAGAGAGAAAGAGAGGGCUCUCAAGAAAAAUAUUUUUUGGAUACCAAAAAAUAUACGCGUUCUUGAAAAAUAUUUGCGCCUGAAUCGUUGAAGAUCUUUGGGUGGUGAUCGAAAUCCUGACGAUAGCUGGUAGUCCCGUUUGCUGCCCUUAAGGAGGUAAAUACACUCUACUUUCCUUUUAGUUUGAUCGCUUUCUUCUUCAUCUCUUUUCUUCGUACCUGUUGCAGUCAUAGUCGUAGUUUGUCUUACUAGGAGUAGCUACUGUAGUCUUUGUCGAAAUUUUGAUUGUUCUGUAAAUUGCUUGUUGUAGAGGCCUGAAAGGCCUUGGGUUUUUUUUUUAGUAAAGAAGUAUUUGGUUGCACUGUUACGUUAAGAUUACCUUUGUCAUUGCUGCCUAUGUGCAAUUUCUGCUGAUUCUGGCUCAGUUUAGAAACUUGUCGCCUAGUCUUGAUGUUGUUGAUGAAUUCACAGCGUAACGCUUACUGUUUGAGAUGGAUAGUUGGUUUUCGUGACAAAGAUUCAUGCUUUGAAUUCGUUUACCAAUUCCAGAUUAAUAAUGUCUUGAAUAAGCUGGUUUCGUAGUAAGGUUUCGUGCUUUUAAUUUUGUUUUGACAGUUUCGGAUUAAUGAUAUUUGGAAUAAGUUAAUUUCGUAACAAAGUUCCUUGCUUUAAGUCUGUUAAAUAGUUCGGGCUAAUGAGAGGUCAUUAUAGUUAUUUUCGUGGUCAAGUCGCACGCUUUGAUUUUGUCUCAGGCUAUUGAUAUCUCACUAUACUUAAUUUCAUGGUUAAAGUUCUGCACUUGGAAUUUUGUUUAACAGUUUAGGGUUAAGGAUGUUUUGUUCGCGGUUAGUAUUUGAUAUUGUCUGGUUUUUGUCGCCGUUAGUUUGAUGUGGUUGAACUGGUAAUAUCAUUAGUAGAACCUCCUCUUGGAUUCUUUGGCUUCUCAAAUGAUGAAGAAUCACGAGGAUAUGUCUAAAAACUAGUGAAUCCCAUGAUUCCUUGAUGACCUUUCUGACCAUUGAACUCAUUCUGAGUUUGUCAGAAAGAAGAUGAGGUCGAUAUCGUUGUUCCGUCACUUCCUCUUUAGAUUCAUUUACUACGUCUCUUCCGUGUGGAUUUUGGGUUUUAGUGAUCAGAGGAGUUGGUAGUUUCUUGGUUUAAGUGAGAGUUUCUUUGCCUCACUUGAUUGGAUUGCCUUGCAUACUGUAUAACAUAAGAGAAGAGAGUUAAAACGAAUUUUCCUUGAUCCACCUGUUGCGUGAAUUUAUUCAUCUACUUUAAAAACUAUCUUCAGUUCUUACUUUUAUAUCUCAGUCGAGUACUUUGAUGGCUAAUUGAUAAAAAAUUUUCUUAGCUUUUUUUUUUUUUCUUUUCUCCGAUUAGUAAGCACUUUAAGUUAUCUGUUUAUCAUGAAGGCGAUUUACUGCUAAUGUAAUCCCCUCACAACUGCUGUAGCACCCCUCUACUGUAGAAAAUAAGACCAACUUUAUGUUCUAUGCUCUCAUAUAAUGAUCGUCACAUCAGAUUGGGAAAACUGAAACCCUUUACUGGAGUUCUUUCAUGCAUAUGCACGUUUCUAUGCAAAAAUAUUACUAGUAUGUAAUAUAUCAUGCUCUCUUUGAUCCCUAUAUUAAAGAUUUAAAAAUCAAUUACAUGUCAUGAGUUCUAUAAUCUUGUACCAAAGUUUCCUUUUUAUGCUUGAGUUUGGAGUAAUGACUUUCGAAAGCCUUGAACCUUCGGAAUUUCCAUUGUUAUCAAGAUAGUUUGUUUCCAUGAACAUAUAUUAAUUCAUAUAUUUUUAUUUUCUUUGCAUGAAUUCGCCUCGGAGUCCAUACGGGCUCUUUCACUUUGCAUUACAUAAUGGGCCAAUAUGGCCCAUCUUUCGUGUCAAGCCCCGAAAGGAGGUCCAAACUAAUUACAUAGCAUACGGAUGCAAGAAGUCGAAAGAGGAAUAAUGGGUUAAAAUCCCAUUCUUGAAGCGACGACGAAACCCAAGCCUCAUUUCUGUGUAUUUAUUUAUUGUCGUUAUCUAUUUAUUGUUGUCAUUUUUAUUAUUGUUUAUUUCCUUUUUUCUUUCAUUAUUCAUUCAUUUGGGCCUCGAAGCCAACGUUGUAAAUUUAAUACAGGUGGAGCGGAUUUUGGGUUGAAAACCCAACUAGAUUAGGACAGGGUCGACGGUUGAAAGCCUAAAUCACUACUUCUCCCUUUCCCUUUUUCCUUUUUACUUGCUUUACGUAUUUCUUGCGAACCUAGUUAAAUCCUUAGUCAAGUCGCUAAAAAGUGGUUUUGCAUAAACACCAAAAUAUUCGUAAAAUUGCUUUCUUUUCAAAAAUCAAUUUUUUCAAGGUUAAUCAAAGACGAUUUUCAAACAGUCCGAAUAAUCGCAAGUUAGCGGACGUUUGAGGUGCCUAACACCUUCCUAAAAUGAUAAUAGGAACCGUUUACUUAUAAUCUUUACCUUCAACUAUUUUUCUAUUUUGGAUCGUUUAAAGUAACUCUCUAAAGGUUUUUUAAUUCCUUUUCAAAAUUAAGUGGCAACUCUUCAAAAUGUCAAAAUUUCCGCAAAACAACUUCAACUACUUUCAAAUUGUAAUUAAAUCGACUUAUUUUCUCUUUAUCAUGCUAAUGUAAUUAUUUUUAUGAUUCAAUUCAGCUGGAGUGCCAACUGAUGAUAGGAAUUGCCCUCCCUUUUUUUAUGAUUAUUCAUCCUGAUAUAGAACAUUUACACCAGCUCAUUCUCAGCGGUUGUAGUCUUUGGCUUUUGCAAGCUUGUUAGGCAGCAUUUUCACUUGUUUUUUAUAUUUUCUAAAUGAAUAAUGUUUCUUUGAAUAUCAAAAAAAUUUGUUUCAAUGCAAGGAGUACCUUUUGUAAAGAUGUUAUCUAUGUUUUUGGGAAAUGGAUGGCCUAUUUUUGUGUACUGCAGGUUCCAUAUUGGUGAAAUUUUAUGCGCUGAUUUAAAAAUUGUAUAUAAGAGAAAUUGAUGGGCUAAACAUGCUACUAUGUUUUACACUGCUGCCGUAUAUGAUUUGGGUCAAAAGGUUUUAGACUUUCCAUUUCCACACUGGGAUAGAUGACUUUCUGGUUUAUGGACUAUGAUACUUCAGUCAACAGCUGUCUUAUCUCUCACAAAUGUUAACACUUUUUUUUCAAUGGCUAUAUUAAGCAUCUUGUAUUUCAUAACUAACUUGUUCAGGAAUUUCGGUUACUAUGAAAAGGCUACGGAUGCAUCUAAACCUCGAUGAAUGAGAUAUAAGUUGUCUCUUAAAUAAUUAGAAGUCCUUGGUUUUGAAAUUCUUUUUCCAAGACAAGCUAGAUUGAUUGCAGUUCAACGGUCAUUUGACAUCUCUCUGUGAACGUAUUCUUUGAGUUUUCAGGAAAUUACUUGCAGGUGCGGUUCUUGCAAUCUUCAUGGAUCAUGCGAUAGGGCUUACUUGAUAUUAAAGGAGUCUGUGGGUGUCACACAUAAGGUAGAUAUUGGGCGAGUCUUGAUUAUUUAUGCAGUAGAUUCUGCAGUUAUAUCAAUUAAGUGAGACACUUGUUGAUUCUGCACCUAUAGCACCUGCCCCUAAAGAUGCAGACGUGUCGCAUUGCCUGCAUUUUUAUUUAUGUGUAUAUUGUAUUUGCACUAUAUUAUCCUAUGUAAUUGUAACGCCUCAAUUUUCUGUAAUCGAAAUUCCACACAGUGCUCAUGACCUCGAAGGACAACAAGCUAAUCUUCUUUUGAUAUCUGUACCUGAUCACAACAUAAUAUAAUAAAAUACAUGCGGAAACUAGCGAAAAUUUGUCAUAAGGUUCAAAACAUCUAAAAUACAUAAUCCUGAAAACUGAAUACUUAUACAUCUGUCAGAAAAGUCUCUAACUGUUUGAACUGUGGAAUUAAUGGGACAUGCCCCAACUUACUCCGGCUACUAAAAUAAAUUAAAUAUAACAAUAUACUGAAAUAAUAAUUCAUCCUCGGAAGAUGAG